UACAGAGGUCUCAACCGUUGUUCGGAUUUAUUGGGCGUAAAGGGUGCGUAGGUGGUCGUGUAAGUCGAGUGUGAAAUCCCAGGGCUCAACUCUGGAACUGCACUCGAUACUGCAUGGCUUGAGCGCUGGAAAGGAGACUGGAAUUUACGGUGUAGCAGUGAAAUGCGUAGAUAUCGUAAGGAAGACCAGUGGCGAAAGCGAGUCUCUGGACAGAUGCUGACACUGAGGCACGAAGGCCAGGGGAGCAAACGGG
rnacentral:rRNA from 1 species